UGUUCCUGGCGCAGACCGCGCCCGGGUUUCGUUGUUGCAUAAGGAUCAUUG
rnacentral:rRNA from 1 species